CUGGGACAAAAGAAAGAACAGUUGGUUGCAGAUCGUCGAAGCUUGCGGAGGUGAUUCGGACAUGCUCACUUACUACAAUAAGUCGAGCUCUGAUCGUCGAAAGAAAGUUGGUAUAAUAUCCCCGAAAAACAAGAUACCUCUCGUCUCGAUUGAUGGGCAGACAGCAGAAACUCCGACGAGUGCCAGAUCUUCAACCAGCUCUCCUGUUCCUCGUCUUCUUGCUACAUCCUUGGGACUUUGUUUUUCCUCCUCCUUUGUGAACUGACGCCAGUCCAUCCAACCCCCGAGUGAACCGGCUACAAAUCCAGUAUCAGCGAAAGAGAACUUCAACUAUAACGAGGUAUUUGUCCUCCGACUCUG
rnacentral:lncRNA from 1 species